AGAGUUUGAUUCUGGCUCAGGAUGAACGCUAGCUACAGGCUUAACACAUGCAAGUCGAGGGGCAGCAUGAGAUUAGCUUGCUAAUCUUGAUGGCGACCGGCGCACGGGUGAGUAACGCGUAUCCAACCUUCCCCCUACUCAGGCAUAGCCCGGUGAAAACCGGAUUAACUCCUGAUAGUUUCACUAGAUGGCAUCUGACGGCGAAUAAAGCUUUGCGGUAAGGGAUGGGGAUGCGUCUGAUUAGCUUGUUGGCGGGGUAACGGCCCACCAAGGCGACGAUCAGUAGGGGUUCUGAGAGGAAGGUCCCCCACAUUGGGACUGAGACACGGUCCAAACUCCUACGGGAGGCAGCAGUGAGGAAUAUUGGUCAAUGGGCGCGAGCCUGAACCAGCCAAGUAGCGUGCAAGAUGACGGCCCUAUGGGUUGUAAACUGCUUUUGUAUGGGAAUAAAGUCAGGGACGUGUCCCUGUUUGCAUGUACCAUAAGAAUAAGGGCCGGCUAAUUCCGUGCCAGCCGCCGC
rnacentral:rRNA from 1 species